AGCUUUUUAAACACAUUUGGUUAUUCUAUUUUUUUUUAGAGUCAACAGUAUCCCCAAAAACUACACAAACAGGCUGAUGGGCUGUUGAGCAACACUCCUGCAUGGUGGAGCGCACGCAUGACAGAUUGUUUGUGUGUGGGUGUGUGUGUGUGUGUGUGUGAGGGGGCUUUUAGCCUUUACUGAGGCAAAGCAGAAUUCAAGUCUGUCACGUUGUGCACGUACAGUUGCCAGCAGGUCUGGCGUUUCUCCUUUUUUUCUCUCAUUUGCACGGUAAAAAUUCCAUCACACCACCUGUCUUAUUUGUGCAGCUAUGCUCAUAAUGAGGCCAUUCAUUUACAGUUUUUAUUUAUUUGUUUUUUUACCAAUGUUUACACUCUAAAAUAAAAAUCUCCACACAAUUUGAAAAAUUCUACACCAAGGAGCAAAACACCGCCACAGAUUUGCACAGCAUUACACACAAUGUCUGCUUCACUCUUUUUUGCAAAACAUUACACACAGUGAUUUGUGAAACUAAACAAACAUUUCGACACCUAAAACACACAAAAGGAUUGUGAGGUUACUUCCUUGUCAUUACAAAGCCCCGCAUUGCCAACGACCACACAAAUGAACAAGUUGGAAACUCACAUCCACAAGAUUGCACAAGAAUGUCACAGCGUUACACCAAGUGGACCAGAUGCAGUGCAUUGUUGUGUGGGACGACGUCUCAUUCCAUCGGGCUGCUGUGGUCCAGAAUUGCAUGGCGGUGGAAAGUAUACGACCUGCGGCCCUAUUACUGUUUGCCCCUCAUUCAGGCCACGGAGCAGGCAUGGGAUCAAAUAGAAGAGCCUUCUGUUCAGGGGUGGAUCUGUCACUCACGGCGAUUCUUCCAACGGUGCCUGAUCCAGCCCGGCAGAGCCAUGAGGAAUAGUUACAGUAUUUCAGUUUUUCUGUGUAUUUGUCUACAGAUUUUAUUUGUGUCAUUGAUUUUAUUGUUGGUUGAUUACUGUAACUGAUUAUGGUAAGGAAUACUGUAUUCCUUAAAUUGAAAUAAAGACUUGGAAUAUUCAGUCAGGCAUCAGUGUCGUGCCGUGCAUGAUAAGUUUGUAGUAGGUCUAUUUGUGUUCAUUCUCCCUUUAUCUUUUUUUAGUUUAAACAAUCAAAGCAAGAAUAAUGCACAAAACAUUACAAUCAGCAUUCAUGCAUUCAUACAAAUUAGAUAUUAAAUCAAAGUUUACUUGAAAGGGAGUGGAAGGAAGCGAUCUCAUAUAAUCCCACCUCUAUUCUACCAUAAGCAUUUUUAUUACAUGACUUAUCAAUAUUCAGUUUAUCAGAUAUCCAUGCCUUACCAACACAGUUUCAGGUCAUUACCAAUGCUUAAGUAUCAAUAAAUCACAUGACAAAGAUGAAGUACUUCAUAAUUGUGUAAAAUAGACAUAACUCUACUUUGGAUAAUAAUUUACCACAUACAGAUCAGUUGUAUAAAAUACAUUCUGAUUAUUUUCAUUAGAAAAAUCAUGAUUAUGAUUAAAAAUAACCCUAUAUCAGAAAAUUGACAUAACAAAUCAUGACUUUUUGGGGCAAGUGCAGUGAUAUAAUUACAGAUCAAUCACUUUAACCAUCUUCAAUAAUUGAUUAGGCAAUUGUAUUAUUGUAAUUAUAAGGUAAUGCUGUGAAAUAAAACAGGGUCCACAUCCUGUCGAUUGUCCAAGAUUUAUCUCAAACUAAUCAUGAAGAAUGUUGUGUUGUGUUGGGUUUGUCACUAUUUUGUUUUGUCAUUGAAAUGAUCACUAGCAAAACAAUGUCUGACCCAAUAUCUAACACAUGCUAUUUUCUAAAAAUUAGGUGUUUUUUUUUACAAUUAUGUUUUUUUAUUUAUCCCUGGAGUGUGAAACUGUCUGCAAUAGUGUCUGAUCAUUGAUGACUGUGUUGGGAAAAUGAAAACUAACGGCAUUUUGGUUAAUAUAUGUUGUGCCUGAAGUGUUUCCUUCUGCAAAAAAUCCAGAAAUUCAGCAAAUUGAGAGUGCUGUUUGGAUAAUUGUGAUUAUAUUUUGAGAAAUGGAAUCCAGCUUUUCAAAUUGUGUGUAAACGUUUGAUAAAAACUGUAAUCUAAAUUAAGA